rnacentral:lncRNA from 1 species
AAGGAUGAUCCGGGAAUUUCCAGUUUUACACUAGGUGUCAUAUGAAACUGUCAACGGAUUAGAAGAACAGGUAAACAAUAUAGGCACACAUUAAGAAUAAUGGAGGUAGAAUUUGGGUAGAACACAAAAGGAGAAAACAUAUAGAUAAAUAUAAUUUCGUUUUCAAAUAAUUGAUAAGAAGAAAAAUUAUUUGCCUGCUCUAAACAUUCAUGUCAAACUCUAAUCUCAGCUGAUUUUCUGAAAAUAUUUUUCUGAUGGUAAACAGACUCCACAUUCAGAUCCCCACGUGAAUUUUUUAACGUGUAAUAUAUCAUAUAUUAGAAAAAUAUUUUAAGCAUUAAUAAUAACAUUCUUUUUUUUUUUUCUUUUUGCCUUUUCUAGGGCCACUGCCACGGCAUAUGAAAGCUCCCAGGCUAGGGGUCUAAUCGGAGCUGUAUUCUCCGGCCUACGCCAGAGCCACAGCAACUCGGGAUCCGAGCCUCGUCUGCAACCUACACCACAGCUCAUGGCAAUGCCGGAUCGUUAACCCACUGAGCAAGGGCAGGGACCGAACCCACAACCUCAUGGUUCCUAGUCGGAUUCGUUAACCACUGCGCCACAACGGGAACUCCUUGGCUGUAAUUAUUAAUUGUUGGACACAUGAAAUCUCUGUGUCCAAGAAAUAAAAAAGUAAGAAAGUUUCACACAAGACAGGGUUCACAGUUUUUGUUUUUGGUUUUGUUUUUUAGUGACUUAAUCUCAAAAAUGUCAUGUGUUAAUUUUGCUGUAUUAUAUUCAUUAGAAAUUAGUUACUAGGUAUAGUCCAGACUCAAGCAGAGGGAUUACACGAAAGCAUGAACUUAAAGAUGUAGGGUCACUGCUAGGGGCUGCCUAGUGCAUUUCACUCUGCCCUGCAGUAAUUCACAUCACUUCUUCAUGCAGAAUACAUUCACCUUCCCAAAGUCCCCAAACAUGUAAUCACAUUAAAACAUUAUCUCCAAGUGCAGAAUAUUAUUACAUAAGUCAGGUUCGUAAGUGGACAUUUCCAGUUCUCUGAGUACAGCUUCUAUAGAAAUAUAGAUCUGAGAAACUAAAAAGACAGGUUAUUUGCUUCCCACACACUCAACAUAACAAUGGUGGGAUAUAGAAUAAGCACAAUAGACAUUUUUGUUGAAAAAAGUAUAAGGUCAUAGGCACACAGGAGUGAUUGAUCCAUAGCAGUUCUAAUAUCCAGCCAGACAAAUAUGUGAAGUUCUUUGGUUGUGUCUCAAUAUAUAGGAAUAAUUGUCUGUCUGUCAGUGCCACUUUUUGCAUUCUUUUUUUCCAUUUGCUACUCCAUCCUUCUUUUAUCACAAAAGGUAGCACAUAUUUGUGGCUGAAAAAUGUUCUCUGUCUGCUUCACGGAGAGUAGAGGUUUGGGUGUCCAACUUUACUGUCAAGAGACAAUACAAUGUCUCUUUCAUUUUUUAUUUUCUCUGACCUUUCAAUCUAAAUUGGCAAUAUUUCUGCCAAUACCAUUCUCUUAAAAACCUUGUGGGUCUCCUGUGACUUCCAUUAUGGUGUGUGCUGUUAAACAAACAAACAAACAAACAAACAAAGGCAACUCAUAAUCUCUUCAAGAUAAGCCUUUUUUUAGGCUUGGACCCCUGCUGAGACAUUGGGGGACAAUGUUGGAGGUAUCCUAAAAGUCCUAUGUUUGGUUGACAAGAUCUGUGGGUUACAGCCUUAAAACUCUCUGAAGAUAUGUUAAAUCACUAACCCCCAGAACCUCUGAAUAUAAUCACAUUAAGGAAUGGGGUUAUUGUAGAUAUAAUUCAUUACUAUGAGAUCAUCUUGGGAGUGCUCACUGAGGUUCAGUGGUAAGGAAUCUGACUAGUAUCCAUGAGGAUUCGAGUUUGGUCCCAGGCCCCACUCGGUGGGUUAAUGAUCUGGUGUUACUGUGAGCUUUGGUGUACGUCACAGACGUGGCUCAGAUCCUGCAUUGCCAUGGCAUAGGCUGGCAGCUGCAGCUCUGAUUCAAACCCAAGGCUGGGAAUUUCCAUAUGUUGUGGGUGCAGCCCUAAAAAAUAAAAUAAAAGAGAGAGAAAAGAAAAAAAA